CCUACGGGAGGCAGCAGUGGGGAAUAUUGCAAACUGGGCGCAAGCCUGAUGCAGCGACGCCGCGUGAGGGAUGGAGGCCUUCGGGUUGUGAACCUCUUUCGCCAGUGAAGCAGGCCUGCCUCGUUUGUGGGUGGGUUGACGGUAGCUGGAUAAGAAGCGCCGGCUAACUACGUGCCAGCAGCCGCGGUAAUACGUAGGGCGCGAGCGUUGUCCGGAAUUAUUGGGCGUAAAGAGCUCGUAGGCGGCUGGUCGCGUCUGUCGUGAAAUCCUCUGGCUUAACUGGGGGCUUGCGGUGGGUGCAGGCCGGCUUGAGUGCGGUAGGGGAGACUGGAACUCCUGGUGUAGCGGUGGAAUGCGCAGAUAUCAGGAAGAACACCGGUGGCGAAGGCGGGUCUCUGGGCCGUUACUGACGCUGAGGAGCGAAAGCGUGGGGAGCGAACAGGAUUAGAUACCCUGGUAGUCCACGCCGUAAACGUUGGGCACUAGGUGUGGGGGGCCUUUUCCGGGUCUUCCGCGCCGUAGCUAACGCAUUAAGUGCCCCGCCUGGGGAGUACGGCCGCAAGGCUAAAACUCAAAGGAAUUGACGG
rnacentral:rRNA from 1 species